rnacentral:rRNA from 1 species
UGUCCUUAGUACGAGAGGACCGGGAUGGACGCACCGCUGGUGUACCAGUUGUCUUGCCAAAGGCAUAGCUGGGUAGCUACGUGCGGACGGGAUAAGUGCUGAAAGCAUCUAAGCAUGAAGCCCCCCUCAAGAUGAGAUUUCCUUUUGCUUCGGCAAGUAAGAUCCCUGAAAGAUGAUCAGGUAGAUAGGUUCGAGGUGGAAGCGUGGCGACACGUGCAGCUGACGAAUACUAAUCGAUCGAGGACUUAACCCAA